GGAGGAAAGCAGGGGAUCGUAAGACCUAGCGUUGAUGGAGCGGCCGAUAUCUGAUUAGCUAGUUGGUGGGGUAAGAGCCUACCAAGGCGACGAUCAGUAGCUGGUCUGAGAGGACGACCAGCCACACUGGAACUGAGACACGGUCCAGACUCCUACGGGAGGCAGCAGUGGGGAAUUUUGGACAAUGGGGGCAACCCUGAUCCGGCCAUUCCGCGUGAGUGAAGAAGGCCUUCGGGUUGUAAAGCUCUUUCGCAAGGGAAGAAAACUCGAUCUCUAAUAUAGGUUAAGGCUGACGGUACCUUGAUAAGAAGCACCGGCUAACUACGUGCCAGCAGCCGCGGUAAUACGUAGGGUGCGAGCGUUAAUCGGAAUUACUGGGCGUAAAGCGUGCGCAGGCGGUUUUGAAAGUCAGAUGUGAAAUCCCCGGGCUCAACCUGGGAACUGCGUUUGAAACUACAAAGCUAG
rnacentral:rRNA from 1 species